UAACACACACAAUAUCAGUACGGACAAGUAGCACAUACACACAACAACAAUAGCUUCCGUGCAACAACACAUAGAUACACAAUAGUACACACAACAACGCACACACACAACAGACACAUGCACACGCACGUAACAACACACAUAACACACACACAUCACACAUACACGCAACAAACACACACACAUACACACGCAGAAGCACAUGCAGCAGCACGCGCACGUGCAUGCACAAACAUGCAUCAACGCACAAGGAGUAGCACACACAUAACAACACUAACACAUGUGAG
rnacentral:lncRNA from 1 species